rnacentral:ncRNA from 1 species
AAGGAUAGAGGUCGCGUUUUUUAUUAGUACUUUUUACGAGGUGGUAGGCACUGAUGACUAAAAGGGAAAGGAAAAGACGCCGAAAGAGAAGAUUUCCUACAGGUCUUUGUCUUGGGCAUAUAGUUAAGAGCUAUAUGACUGUCAUCGUUUCGAUGGGGAGCUAUCAG